rnacentral:lncRNA from 10 species
CUGGGGUCUUCUGUAAAAGGCAAUGCUUCAUGAAUUCUUUUUAUUUAUUAUUUAUUUAUUUUUUACAGAGUCUCGCUCUGUCACCCAGGCUGGAGUGCAGUGGUGUGAUCUCAGCUCACUGCAACCUCCACCUCCCAGGCCCAAGCAAUUCUUCUGCCUCAGCCUCCCAAGUAGCUGGGAUUACAGGCGUGCACCACCACACCCAGCUAAUUUUUGUAUUUUUAGUAUGGAUAGGGUUUUUCCAUGUUAACCAGGCUGGUCUCAAAUUC